rnacentral:lncRNA from 1 species
AAAUGGACAACCCUUACCAGAAAAAUCCAAUUUAACACUUCUAUAACCAAACAAACCAGCCUCAACACCUGGAGCCUUCCUGCUCCCCAAGAUCAACACAUCUCCCAAUAACAAUUACUCAACUCUAAUAAUCCCACAACCAAGAAUAAGGACUAUUAAUAAUUUACUAUUAGACUUUCAGAGCAUAUCUAAAGUUGAACGAAAAACAACGAAUAAAGAAUAUGCGGAAGCAGCCUCUGACUAUGCCUCAACUCCAUGUACGCUCGACCUCCUUUAAAACUUAGCCUGCACACUGGGCAUUUGAAACCGAAGGGCCCAGGGAAAAGUAAUAUAAAAACGUUAGAGUGAGUGGACGAAAAAUAAACAAAUAACUGAUCGCAACAUAACUAACCAAACUUAAUUACUUUCCCAUUUUCUAAUAAUCAAGAAAUCUGUUGCAUGCAAGUGUUGAUAAAACCUUCAUAAGGAAAAUCCCAAAGAAACGGACUAGCCCCGCUAGUCAAAAUAUUGACAAAGAUAAAUACUAACCUUCAUUGAAGAAAAUACCAAAAUAAUGGACUAGCCCCGCUAGUCAAAACAACAAUAAAUAGUAAACCGAUUUAACCAUACAAGUGAGCCUCCCAGACUCAGUUGCCUCCCAGGCAAAGUACUCCCAUACUCCCUACACUUCCAUGUCAUGAUAACAGAGAAAGUACAGGGCUUGCGUGAUGUCGUCGACUACAUCACAUCACCCGAAGGCGGAAAGGGCUUGAUUAACCCCACUUAAAACGUGGAAGCUACAUCGUCUCGAAAGGCGGAACAACAUGCUAGCAUGAAUAAUAACGAUCCAACAAGUAUGGCAUAAAUAAAGAAACAUAAAUCCAUGUGAGUUUCCCCGAAACUCAUAACUUAAGCAUAAGUACGAUUCCCAAUCGUACUCAAAGAAUUCAAAGAGUAAAGAAAAUAAUUAAAUUCGAUGACGUGUCCCACACGUUAAAAUGCUCGAUGAAAUAAUUAAUUUAAAUAAUUUUCACCUUUCGAAAACCAGGCAAUAUGCAAAUCUGGAUAUAAUCUCAAAUCCGGAAAUCAUAAAGAAAAUCCAAACUUAAAUCUCAAAUUAUCAGUCCGAGCUCAAAUCCAUAAAUUAUGACUAACAUUUAAUCCAUGCAUCAAUCUCAAAUAAUUUCCAAGAUCAUUUCAUAUGCCGAAGUUAUAAUAUAUGCUCGGAAAAUAAAAUACUAAUUUAGAAAAUCUUGCAUGCAUAUUAAAUGAAAACCAAAAUGUCCACUCACAGAUUUAGGCCUAAGCCUGACGAAUUCCGAAUCACCACUCAAGUGGGGUCUCCUCGAAUCCUGGCACAACAACCAUGCUUAGGACCAAACUUUAAUUCCGGAAAAUAAUUACGUGAAUAAAAAUAUCUAACUCUCUUCCGUUUAACCCUCUACUGUUAUUAGGGUUAAACUCAUCGGUUUCACAUCAAACUCCACCACAACCUCAAAUCAUCAAUUCUAACAUUCCAGGCUAAAUACCAAGGAAAUUCAACGGCCGGAUUUUCAUUCUAAUAACCGGCAAAUCCUUAAUAUUUAAAAAAUCUCAAACCUUAACAAAACUCCUCCAAAAAAUUCAAACUAUACUUCAUUAGACUCCUCUCAUUAUAACAAACUCAAAAACCUGAAAAACAACCUCCAACUGGCGCCGCCGCCGCUGCCGGCCGCUUGCUUCGCCGGCAGCCGUACUCCGGCGGCGUCCAUUGCCUCCCAAAAUUUAACAGAAUAAUCCUCUCAUCAAGCACAACAACUUUCAUAACUAGCACUUAGUCCAAUUCUAAGCUUAACUAGGGUAAUCGAACCAAAACCUCCAUAAAUUCUUAGAAUUUCAAUUAAACAUAUCUCCACACCAAGAUCGAAUUAAGUCGAUUCCUUUUAAGGGAUCACUAACCUUGAUGAGAGCUACUAGAUGAGCCAAGUUUCACGAGCUAUGGUGGCCGGAGGUAGGAGCUCCGGCGAAGGAGCAGUCGGCAGCUCGGGCGGGAUUCCUCUCAAUCGGUGGCGUCCCAGGCACGGUCACCGGUCCAGAAUGAGAGAGGGGACAACAGGGGUCCGAACGGAGGUGUUCCGGCGGUCUGCAGUGGCCGGACGGCUGUGGCAGACGGAGCUGAAGUCUCCGGUGGGAGAGAGAGCUCGGGGGACUCGGGAGAGAAAGAAGAGAAGGGAGGAAGAGAGAGAGUGAGAGUUGGGCUUUGACCCACUCUUCACCCGGUCCAAACUUAAAACACCCACAAAAUAAAGCCUACUAGAAUUUACCUCUUUUUACCAAUAUAGUAACUUUCGUUUUUAGACCAUAACUUCUUUAUACGAACUCCGUUUUAAGCAUGCCGCGUGUCCACGAACUCCGUUUAACAUCCUCUACGACUUUCAUGAAGGAAGUUUUCCCGAAUUCCAAACGGAAGAAAAAGUCAACUUUUGGAGUCUUAAAUAGUAAACGGUUACUUAAAACGGUAAAAUGUCAAAGUAACCCAAAAGUAAAUAACCGCAAAUUGACUUAAGAACCGGGAUGUGACAAAUGUAAUAGAAUCUGAACUGGGAAUUUACUCAAUUUAGAAGUAUUCAUUUCACGAAGCUCAGGAACUUUGGAUCUUGAUCCCUUGAUUUGCCAAUUUCAAUUGAAAGUUGAAACGGGGGGAUUUUCAUAUACACCCAAUUUUGGAGAGUGGUUUUAAAUAAAACCCAUAUAAUAUUCCUUUCUGAUAGACAUCUAAAAUGUAUCAUAAUCUAAAAUGUAUCAAUUAUGAUACAUAUUAUGUCAUAUUUUUUCUAAAUUUUACACAAUUGCCACCAUUCAACUAUAAGAUAUAAACAUAAUAAAUAAGCUUAAUUGAUGUUUUCUUAAAUACCUUGAUUAUGAGUUUUUCUUUUAACACUAACAUUUUUCAAUCAAUUUGCAAGAAUCAUGAGGUUUCUUUAUUUUUAUGAAAAAGAUCUAGGUGAAAUGAAUACAUUCUAUGAUCUAUACAUAAGGUAAAAUAUAAUAUAAAUAAGAUAUCUGAUUAUUGGAGUACGUAAAAGGAAGAAAUUUUAUAGUGUUACCGUAAGCCCUAAGCCCUAAGCCCUAAACCCUAAACCCUAAACCCUAUACCCUAUACCCUAUAUCCUAAACCCGGCCUAUACUCUAUACUCUAAACCUAUACCCUAACCCUAUACCCUAUACCCUAAACCCUAUUACCUUAACCCCUAUACCCUAAACCCAAUUUUGGGUUUCUUCUUUUUAGGUAUAUUACCAUAUCAUGUCCUACUUAAUAGGUACAUUAGAAAUGUAAAUGUUCUCUCGAUCAUGAUGAGAAAUGAUAUAAUAAUAUACCUA